rnacentral:misc_RNA from 1 species
GUUGAUCGGAAUGAAGAUUAGCUUGACAAAGAACCCUACAAAUCCCAUCACAACGAAUCCGAUAGCGGUACGGACGGCAACCUUGGUGAAUUCCUUGCGAUCGGGUUUAUGACAUCUCUUAACGAGACGAACGCUGUCCUUGGCGAACUCUCUGAGAGGAUCAACGACUGAAUCAAUGGCGUCCAUUCCCUGCGAAGUAGAAAUCAAAAUUUGAUAAUUGGGAAUG